rnacentral:rRNA from 1 species
GGAUAAAAUUAGGUAUGCCUGCCCGGUGACCAUGAGUUUAACGGCCGCGGUAUUCUGACCGCGCAAAGGUAGCGUAAUCACUUGUCUUCUAAAUAAAGACUAGUAUGAACGGCCACACGAAGACUUGACUGUCUCCCUAGUCCAAUCAGUGAAACUAAUCUCCUCGUGCAGAAGCGAGAAUACACCCAUUAGACGAGAAGACCCUAUGGAGCUUUAAACUCAAUAUUAAUUAUAUUUAACUCUUCUCUAAGGAACUAACAACUUUUUUAACUUAAUAUUAGUUUUAGGUUGGGGCGACCAUGGAGAAAAAAAUAUCCUCCCUGAUGAUUUUCUAACCAAGAGCUACAGCUCUAAGUAUUAAGACCCUUAACUCCCAUUGACCCAUUUUAUGAUCAACGAACCAAGUUACCCUAGGGAUAACAGCGCAAUCCAUUUCAAGAGUUCCUAUCGACAAAUGGGUUUACGACCUCGAUGUUGGAUCAGGGCAUCCUAGUGGUGCAACCGCUACUAACGGUUCGUUUGUUCAACGAUUAAAGCCCUACGUGAUCUGAGUCCAG